rnacentral:rRNA from 1 species
GACGAACGCUGGCGGCGUGCUUAACACAUGCAAGUCGAACGGAAAGGCCUCUUUCGGGGGGUACUCGAGUGGCGAACGGGUGAGUAACACGUGAGUAACCUGCCCUUGACUUUGGGAUAACUUCAGGAAACUGGGGCUAAUACCGGAUAGGAGCUCCUGCUGCAUGGUGGGGGUUGGAAAGUUUCGGCGGUUGGGGAUGGACUCGCGGCUUAUCAGCUUGUUGGUGGGGUAGUGGCUUACCAAGGCUUUGACGGGUAGCCGGCCUGAGAGGGUGACCGGCCACAUUGGGACUGAGAUACGGCCCAGACUCCUACGGGAGGCAGCAGUGGGGAAUAUUGCACAAUGGGUGGAAGCCUGAUGCAGCAACGCCGUGUGCGGGAUGACGGCCUCGGGUUGUAACGCUUCGCUCAUGACGAAGGCUUCGUGUGACGGUAGU